rnacentral:rRNA from 1 species
GAUUAUUCUGAGUGACUUUCUCUAAAAAACUUUUUUGACCUCUCUAAAAAUGGUGUAAAAUAAGGGGNGGGCAAGUCUGGUGCCAGCACCGCGGU